rnacentral:rRNA from 1 species
UACAGAGGGGGCAAGCGUUAUUCGGAAUUAUUGGGCGUAAAGGGCGCGUAGGCGGCGUGUCAAGUCAGGCGUGAAAGCCCCGGGCUCAACCUGGGAACCGCGCUUGAGACUGGCAUGCUCGAGUUCGGGAGAGGAUGGUGGAAUUCCCAGUGUAGAGGUGAAAUUCGUAGAUAUUGGGAAGAACACCGAUGGCGAAGGCAGCCAUCUGGACCGACACUGACGCUGAGGCGCGAAAGCGUGGGGAGCAAACAGG